GUCGUGGCUGCCUCCAUGUCCUGAGUCAGUUCAAAAUGUUUACCUUUCAUGGUCAUCUUGACUUUGGGGUAGAGCCAGGAGCCGGACAUCGCAUGGUGCCAGGUCCAGUGAACCGGAUGGACGAGAAUUCCCUGUGACAUUUGUGAGCCCUCCUUUCUAUUGGACGGCACUCAGCAGCAGCAGAGGUCACCACGUCUUCAUCACACAUUACAAAGAUACACAGGACAGAAGACUUCUCCAGGACUUCUUCGGAGAGUAGCAGGGAUGAUGGGAUGAAUGUGUGUGAAGUGUAUUGAUUGAACAAGACAAGAAAUAAGAGAGGAAAAAGAUGAGGAAAACACUUACAUGAUACCUGAACCACACGCAUAUGAGAAUCUCAAGAGUUUUGGAACAGUUUUGAGGUUAUGUAUGAUAAAUGAACAACAUAAAAUCAAGCAGAAAAGCCAUCAAGAUGUACAGAAAGAAGGACAGAAGCUUGGUCCUUUAAAAUCUCUGGAAAGCUAUUGCAAUACAAAGUCAUAUUUCACUCUGCUCAGCGCUUGGAUCUCCACACACAUCUCUGUGAGUCAAUAG
rnacentral:lncRNA from 1 species